CGCAGGUCUCAGGAACACCGAGGCAUUCCACGUAGAAGAAUAGCAUGGAGUCAUGAAUCCACGGAAGCUCAGGAAGCCCAGAGUAUAGACUGUUGGGAGGGAGAUGACAUCAGAAUGAUGGUGUGAAGGAGUCAGGUGACGCCGGGAAACAGGAUGGGAUAUCGACGGACCUCCUUUGGUAACGAGAAGGGAAUCGCCCUGGGACAGAAAGAAGAUCCUUACCCCCUGGAGCCUCAGACGCUGCUCUCCAGUUGCAUUAAGGCCUGUGAAGCAGGAACUGAUGGAGCUGCCUAAUACUUCUUAGCAUUUCAAUGUUGUUACAUUUAUAAUGUUACUCAAUUU
rnacentral:lncRNA from 1 species